rnacentral:rRNA from 1 species
UACGGAGGGUGCAAGCGUUAUCCGGAUUCACUGGGUUUAAAGGGAGCGUAGGUGGGCUGGUAAGUCAGUGGUGAAAUCUCCGGGCUUAACUCGGAAACUGCCGUUGAUACUAUCAGUCUUGAAUAUUGUGGAGGUAAGCGGAAUAUGUCAUGUAGCGGUGAAAUGCUUAGAUAUGACAUAGAACACCUAUUGCGAAGGCAGCUUACUACGCCUAUAUUGACGCUGAGGCACGAAAGCGUGGGGAUCAAACAGG